rnacentral:rRNA from 1 species
UACGUAGGGUGCAAGCGUUAAUCGGAAUUACUGGGCGUAAAGCGUGCGCAGGCGGUUUUGUAAGUCAGAUGUGAAAUCCCCGGGCUCAACCUGGGAACUGCGUUUGAAACUACAAGGCUAGAGUGUGGCAGAGGGGGGUGGAAUUCCACGUGUAGCAGUGAAAUGCGUAGAGAUGUGGAGGAACACCGAUGGCGAAGGCAGCCCCCUGGGUUAACACUGACGCUCAGGCACGAAAGCGUGGGGAGCAAACAGG